GGUAUCCAAUGGCAGGCUCUGAGACAAGCUAUUGUGGCCAAUCAACGCUCGCUAAACUCGUGCAGCCCAUCAGUCAUCCUACGGUUUAGUGGAUUUACGGUGUCCUCGUGUUUUGCUUAUCUUGGUGCUUAUGUCUGGUUAGUGCAGUAACCAUGCGUGUCGAAACUGCCGGAAGUGAUACAUUUACUGCGCGUGAAAGUGUUUGUGCCAGAAAUGUACUCAGAAACCCAGAACGAUUGGCUGAAACUUCCUCGAAAGGGAACAAGAACACCAGAGCAAAGCCCACGUGUGCAGACAACUCGACCACUGUUCUAGCCUGACAAACAAAUGUCAUCCUUGCCGUGUUACAGGGGAACGACACUACGCACGGGACCAGAUAGACAUUGACAAUAACCCUCAUACCCUGUGGGACUACGAUUACCACAAUGAUGUCGAUCCCGAUGAGCCUAACUACCCGGCAGAUACAUGGCUGACUCAACACAUAUACGUACAGUUAAGGUUCCUUCAGCCGCUUGUGGCCGGCGGGGCUUCCAAUACCUGGUCAUCAUCGGGAACUUUUAAUU